GUAGCUCAGUGGUAGAGCAGUUGCCUGGCAUGCAGAAGGCCUUGGGCUCAAUGCCCAGC
rnacentral:tRNA from 1 species